rnacentral:pre_miRNA from 1 species
AUGUGCAUCAAAGUGGUUGUGAAAUGUAUUGGUUCUCAUAUCACAGCCAGCUUUGAUGAGCUUUU